CUUAAGCAUAUCAAUAAGCGGAGGAAAAGAAACUAACAAGGAUUCCCCUAGUAACUGCGAGUGAAGCGGGAAGAGCUCAAAUUUAAAAUCUGGCAGCUUUGGCUGUCCGAAUUGUAAUCUGGAGAAGUGCUUUCUGCUCUGGACCGUGUACAAGUCUCCUGGAAUGGAGCGUCAUAGAGGGUGAGAAUCCCGUCUUUGACACGGACUACCAGUGCUUUGUGAUGUGCUUUCAAAGAGUCGAGUUGUUUGGGAAUGCAGCUCAAAAUGGGUGGUAAAUUCCAUCUAAAGCUAAAUAUUGGCGAGAGACCGAUAGCGAACAAGUACCGUGAGGGAAAGAUGAAAAGCACUUUGGAAAGAGAGUUAAACAGUACGUGAAAUUGCUGAAAGGGAAACGCUUGAAGUCAGUCGCGUUGUUCAGAACUCAGCCUGGCUUUGGCUUGGUGCACUUUCUGAAUAACGGGCCAGCAUCAAUUUCGACUGUUGGAUAAAGGCCAGUGAAAUGUGGCUCCUUUGGGAGUGUUAUAGUCUCUGGUUGCAUACAAUGGUUGAGAUUGAGGAACUCAGCAUGCCUUUAUGGUCGGGGUUCGCCCACGUUCAUGCUUAGGAUGCUGGCGUAAUGGCUUUAAACGACCCGUCUUGAAACACGGACCAAGGAGUCUAACAUGCCUGCGAGUGUUUGGGUGGAAAACCCGAGCGCACAAUGAAAGUGAAAGUUGGGAUCUCUGUCGUGGAGAGCACCGACGCCCGGACCAGACCUUCUGUGACGGAUCCGCGGUAGAGCCUGUAUGUUGGGACCCGAAAGAUGGUGAACUAUGCCUGAAUAGGGUGAAGCCAGAGGAAACUCUGGUGGAGGCUCGUAGCGAUUCUGACGUGCAAAUCGAUCGUCAAAUUUGGGUAUAGGGGCGAAAGACUAAUCGAACCCUCUUGCCC
rnacentral:rRNA from 1 species